ACUGCUGCCUCCCGUAGGAGUCUGGGCCGUGUCUCAGUCCCAGUGUGGCUGAUCAUCCUCUCAGACCAGCUACAGAUCGUCGCCUUGGUGAGCCGUUACCUCACCAACUAGCUAAUCUGACGCGAGCUCAUCUUCAGGCAAAAUUCGUUUCACCUCUCGGCAUAUGGGGUAUUAGCGACCGUUUCCAGUCGUUAUCCCCCUCCUGAAGGCAGAUCCUCACGCGUUACUCACCCGUCC
rnacentral:rRNA from 1 species